rnacentral:rRNA from 1 species
GAUGAACGCUGGCGGUAUGCUUAACACAUGCAAGUCGAACGGACUCUUCGGAGUUAGUGGCGGACGGGUGAGUAACGCGUGAGAAUCUGGCUUUGGGUUCGGGACAACCACUGGAAACGGUGGCUAAUACCGGAUGUGCCGAGAGGUAAAAGAGAAAUUGCCUGAAGAUGAGCUCGCGUCCGAUUAGCUAGUUGGUGAGGUAAAGGCUCACCAAGGCAGCGAUCAGUAGCUGGUCUGAGAGGAUGACCAGCCACACUGGGACUGAGACACGGCCCAGACUCCUACGGGAGGCAGCAGUGGGGAAUGUUCCGCAAUGGGCGAAAGCCUGACGGAGCAAUACCGCGUGAGGGAAGAAGGCUCUUGGGUUGUAAACCUCUUUUCUUAGGGAAGAACAAAAUGACGGUACCUAAGGAAUCAGCAUCGGCUAACUCCGUG